CGCUCGGUCGUACCGAGAUCCGCAUCAGGUUUUUCCAAGUUUCGCAAACUACAGUCGAUAGAAGAACGGAGAUAAGGGAAGUCGGCAAAAUAGAUCUGUAACUUUGGGAUAAAGAUUGGCUCUAAGGACUGGGUCUGGUCGUUUUGUUUCUGUUUCUUUUGCCUUGUUUUUUCUCUUCUUUUUUAGGUUCGCAAGGACUUGAGGAGGAGGGGGAGAGAUGGGGUGUUUGAGAUGGGGGCAAGUUAUGGCGGCUGGACGUGAAACAGUCAACUUAGAACUGGAACGAACAGGGGGAAUCUGACUGUCUAAUUAAAACAUAGCCUUGAGAAGGAGCAAAAAGCUUGUUGACUCAAGGUGAAUUCUGCCCAGUGCCCUGAAUGUCAAAAUGAAGAAAUUCAACCAAGCGCGGGUAAACGGCGGGAGUAACUAUGACUCUCUUAAGGUAGCCAAAUGCCUCGUCAUUAAAUUCGUGACGCGCAUGAAUGGAUCAACGAGAUUCCUACUGUCCCUAUCUCCCAUCUAGCGAACCCACAGCCAGGGGAACGGGCCUGGCAGAAACAGCGGGGAAAGAAGACCCUGCUGAGCUUGACUCUAAUCCGGCUUUGUGAAAUGACUUGAAAGGCGUAGAAUAAGUGGGAGCUUCGCGGCGACAUUGAAAUACCACUACUUCCAAUGUUAUUUUACUUAUUUAGUGAUGUGGAAAGGUUCUUUACUGAGCCGUUCAAACCUUCUGGACUUAACGGGGCUGCGCCUCGGCGCGGUCCCGGAUCCAAGCUAAAGACAUAGUCAGGCGGGGAGUUUGGCUGGGGCGGCACAUCUGUAAAACAUUAACGCAGGUGUCCAAAGUGGGGCUCAUUGAGAACAGAAAUCUCAUGUAGAACAAAAGGGUAAAAGCCCCAUUGAUUUUGAUCUUCAGUACUGAUACAAACGGUGAAAGCCUGGCCUAUCGAUCCUUUGGUCUUCCGGAAUUUGGAACUAGAGGUGUCAGAAAAGUUACCACAGGGAUAACUGGCUUGUGGCAGCCAAGCGUACAUAGCGACGUUGCUUUUUGAUCCUUCGAUGUCGGCUCUUCCUAUCAUUACGAAGCAGAAUUCGUAAAGUGUUGGAUUGUUCACCCAUUAAAAGGGAACGUGAGCUGGGUUUAGACCGUCGUGAGACAGGUUAGUUUUACCCUCCUGUUGACGUCGCUCCCCGAUAGUAAUUUAACUUAGUACGAGAGGAACAGUUGAUUCGCGCAAUUGGUAAUGCGGUUGGCUGACCAGCCAGUGCCGCAAAGCUAUCACGCGUCGGAAAAUGACUGAACGCCUCUAAGUCAGAAGCCCUGCUAGCCUAAAGGGAGCGUCAAAGCUGUUUGGCCGGCGGUCGCAAGGCCGCUGCCAAAAGAUCAUGCUGUUUCGGGACGACCGAGCGGUGCCGGGCGUGCCUUCAUGUUGAUUUAUUUACUGUGUAUCGAUAGGUCGCUCGCUUUGU
rnacentral:rRNA from 1 species